rnacentral:rRNA from 1 species
UAGGGAAUAUUGGGCAAUGGACGCAAGUCUGACCCAGCCAUGCCGCGUGCAGGAUGAAGGCCUUCUGGGUUGUAAACUGCUUUUAUCUAGGAAGAAAAUGUCCUUGCGAGGAAAACUGACGGUACUAGAUGAAUAAGCACCGGCUAACUCCGUGCCAGCAGCCGCGGUAAUACGGAGGGUGCAAGCGUUGUCCGGAUUUAUUGGGUUUAAAGGGUGCGUAGGCGGCGUAAUAAGUCCGUGGUGAAAGCCAACAGCUCAACUGUUGAACUGCCAUGGAUACUGUUAGGCUUGAGUACAGACGAGGUAGGCGGAAUGGAUCGUGUAGCGGUGAAAUGCAUAGAUACGAUCCAGAACUCCGAUUGCGAAGGCAGCUUACUAGGCUGUAACUGACGCUGAGGCACGAAAGCGUGGGGAGCGAACAGG